rnacentral:rRNA from 1 species
UACGAAGGGGGCUAGCGUUGCUCGGAAUUACUGGGCGUACAGGGCGCGUAGGCGGCACUGUUAGUCAGGCGUGAAAGUCCUGGGCUCAACCUGGGAACUGCGCUUGAUACGGCAGAGCUAGAGGAUGGAAGAGGGUCGCGGAAUUCCCAGUGUAGAGGUGAAAUUCGUAGAUAUCGGGAGGAACACCAGUGGCGAAGGCGACUACCUGGCCUGUUCUUGACGCUGAGGCGCGAAAGCUAGGGGAGCAAACGGG